rnacentral:rRNA from 1 species
GGAUCAAUACGUCGGUCGUGCUUCGGUACGUACUGGCGUAAUUGAUUUCUCCCUUCUGACGAACCAUGAUGUCAUUAACUUGGUGUCGUGGGAAAUCAGGACUGUUACUUUGGAAAAAAAUUAGAGUGUUUAAAGCAGGCUCACGCUUGAAUACAUUAGCAUGGAAUAAUGAAAUAGGACGUUCGAUCCUAUUUCGUUGGUUUUUAGGAUCAACGUAAUGAU